AACGAACGCUGGCGGCAUGCUUAACACAUGCAAGUCGAACGGACUUGUGGGGCUUGCUCUACAAGUUAGUGGCAGACGGGUGAGUAACGCGUGGGAAUGUACCUUUUGGUUCGGAAUAACUACGGGAAACUGUGGCUAAUACCGGAUAAGCCCUCCGGGGGAAAGAUUUAUCGCCAAAAGAAGCAGCCCGCGUUAGAUUAGGUAGUUGGUAGGGUAAUGGCCUACCAAGCCGACGAUCUAUAGCUGGUCNGAGAGGAUGAUCAGCCACACUGGGACUGAGACACGGCCCACGACUCCUACGGGAGGCAGCAGUGGGGAAUAUUGGAC
rnacentral:rRNA from 1 species